AUAGAAGAAAUAAAAAAGAACAAGAGCUAUUUAGAAAAAGGAGAAAAACCUAGAUGUAUGUAUAUAUAUAUAUGCAUGUGCAUGUCUGUGAAGUGUGACCAAAGUGUAAGUAGGAGUAGCAAGAUAUCCCUGUUAUCUUAGCGUGUUUAUGAGACAGAAAAAGAAACCAGCAAUCCUACCAUCAUGCAAAACAGUUACAGGUUUUUGUUUCACAGUCAUCUGGCAGGACGGUAGUACUUCCCUGGGUGGUUGCUGUCUACCAACCUACUACCUAUACCAACCUACUACUACUGUAUAUUAAAAAAAUGUCAUCUGUUAGAAUGGUCUCAGUCUUAGAGUUUACUGCUGCAAUGAUUUAGUAUUUUUUGUAAAAAUAGUAUUUGUGACAAAGAAUGUUGUCAGUCACCUUGAAAUAUUAAAUGCUGGUAGUGCGUCCUGCUGCCACACCAAUCAUUGCAUGUCAAUUUUAUAUCUCAGCAAUUAAAAUGUAUAAAUAUACAUUUUCUUAUGCCAGUAGGACAUUUUUCUAAAAGUCAGUAUGUAGGCUGGUAGACAGCAACCAUCCAGAGAGGUAUUACUGGUAUUAGGUUGGUAGACAGCAACCAUCCAAACAGGUAUUACUGCUAUUAGGUUGGUAGACAGCAACCAUCCAAAGAGGUAUUACUGCUAUUAGGUUGGUAGACAGCAACCAUCCAGAGAGGUAUUACUGGUAUUAGGUUGGUAGACAGCAACCAUCCAGAGAAGUAUUACUGCUAUUAGGUUGGUAGACAGCAACCAUCCACAGAGGUAUUAAAUGGUAUUAGGUUGGUAGACAGCAACCAUCCAGAGAAGUAUUACUGCUAUUAGGUUGGUAGACAGCAACCAUCCACAGAGGUAUUACUGGUAUUAGGUUGGUAGACAGCAACCAUCCAGAGAAGUAUUACUGCUAUUAGGUUGGUAGACAGCAACCAUCCACAGAGGUAUUACUGCUAUUAGGUUGGUAGACAGCAACCAUCCAGAGAGGUCUUACACAGCUUGGUAUAAAAACUUCCCAGAGAGGAACAAAAAUGCUUCCAAUGGAUGAAUAAGAUAUUAGACUAUAUCUUGGGAGAGAAAAGAGGAAUUUACAGGCAUAUCAAAACAGACUAUGUUCCUAUUAAGAGAAAAAAUGAGGGAGGUGAAAUUAAACCUGUGGGAGAAUCCAGAACAAAUAGAUCUGAAGAACUGACAGAUGAGUAGGUAAUGUGUACAAUAUAUAGUACUAACACCCAGUACAGAACUGUAACUUUCAAACCUUGUUCUGACCCUCGAAAACUAUGGUAGUGUUAUACAUGAAAGAAUAAGGAUUUAUUGGUAAAAGAGUCAGGGGUCGGCUUGUACACCAAGUCAUGCUAUGCUGCAGCAUAUUAAAAAUGCAUGGAUCUGAAAUUAUAUAUUUCAAGAGUUUUAUCAAAUAUGUAUUUUCUUAAUGUAAAUGUAAGGUGUCAAGAGAAAAAUUAUGAUAAAGAAUACUGAUAUUAAAGUAUUCACUUAUGUAGUUUGCAGUAAUAAAGUAUUGUUAAGCACAAAAGAAAGCCAUUUGCUAGGUUGGGUGCAUUGGCUUAAGCCGGUAGGAGACUUGGACCUGCCUCACAUGGGCCAGUAGGCCUGCUGCAGUGUUGAUAUAUUGGUUACAUUUGAGGCAAGUAUUGCAAAGCAUACAUCAUGGCCGUGCCUUAUAGCACUUCACAACCGAGCUGUCACUGUGUCAGCCUCUCUACCUACAUGUAUCUGCAUUUAUGACUGUCUUCUCUCAAACAAAAUGAUUUAUAUUGUUCUGAAAUUUACUCAUGUCUUUCUUUCCUCAAAAAACAACCUUGUGACUGUUGUAAAUAAUGUACCACCAUUGUAGACUCUGCUAUGAACUGGCAUUUUAUAAACUAAUUUGAAA